GACGAACGCUGGCGGCGUGCUUAACACAUGCAAGUCGAACGGAAAGGCCCUGCUUUUGUGGGGUGCUCGAGUGGCGAACGGGUGAGUAACACGUGAGUAACCUGCCCUUGACUUUGGGAUAACUUCAGGAAACUGGGGCUAAUACCGGAUAGGAGCUCCUGCUGCAUGGUGGGGGUUGGAAAGUUUCGGCGGGUGGGGAUGGACUCGCGGCUUAUCAGCUUGUUGGUGGGGUAGUGGCUUACCAAGGCUUGGACGGGUCGCCGGCCUGAGAGGGUGACCGGCCACAUUGGGACUGAGAUACGGCGCAGACUCCUACGGGAGGCAGCAGUGGGGAAUAUUGCACAAUGGGCGGAAGCCUGAUGCAGCGACGCCGCGUUCGGGAUGACGGCCUUCGGGUUGUAAACCGCUUUCGCCUGUGACGAAGCGUGAGUGACGGUAAUGGGUAAAGAAGCACCGGCUAACUACGUG
rnacentral:rRNA from 1 species